UACGUAGGGUGCAGGCGUUAAUCGGAAUUACUGGGCGUAAAGCGUGCGCAGGCGGUUUGCUAAGACAGGUGUGAAAUCCCCGGGCUUAACCUGGGAACUGCGCUUGUAACUGGCAAGCUAGAGUGUGGCAGAGGGGGGUGGAAUUCCAGGUGUAGCAGUGAAAUGCGUAGAGAUCUGGAGGAACACCGAUGGCGAAGGCAGCCCCCUGGGCUAACACUGACGCUCAUGCACGAAAGCGUGGGGAGCAAGCGGG
rnacentral:rRNA from 1 species